GGGCCCGCACAAGCGGUGGAUUAUGUGGUUUAAUUCGAAGCAACGCGCAGAACCUUACCUAGGCUUGAAAUCCUGCGAACCCGACGUAAUUGUUGGGGUGCCCGCAAGGGAAUGCAGUGACAGGUGCUGCAUGGCUGUCGUCAGCUCGUGUUGUGAAAUGUUGGGUUAAGUCUCGCAACGAGCGCAACCCCUAUCUUUAGUUGCCAGCAUUAAGUUGGGCACUCUAGAGAGACUGCCCGGGUUAACCGGGAGGAAGGUGGGGAUGACGUCAAAUCAUCACGGCCCUUACGUCCUGGGCUACACACGUGCUACAAUGGUCGGUACAGAGAGCAGCCACUACGCGAGUAGGAGCGAA
rnacentral:rRNA from 1 species